rnacentral:rRNA from 1 species
GACGAACGCUGGCGGCGUGCUUAACACAUGCAAGUCGAACGGAAAGGCCCUGCUUUUGUGGGGUGCUCGAGUGGCGAACGGGUGAGUGACACGUGAGUAACCUGCCCUUGACUUUGGGAUAACUUCAGGAAACUGGGGCUAAUACCGGAUAGGAGCUCCUGCUGCAUGGUGGGGGUUGGAAAGUUUCGGCGGUUGGGGAUGGACUCGCGGCUUAUCAGCUUGUUGGUGGGGUAGUGGCUUACCAAGGCUUUGACGGGUAGCCGGCCUGAGAGGGUGACCGGCCACAUUGGGACUGAGAUACGGCCCAGACUCCUACGGGAGGCAGCAGUGGGGAAUAUUGCACAAUGGGCGGAAGCCUGAUGCAGCAACGCCGCGUGCGGGAUGACGGCCUUCGGGUUGUAAACCGCUUUCGCCUGUGACGAAGCGUGAGUGACGGCAAUGGGUAAAGAAGCACCGGCUAACUACGUG